AUUGAACGCUGGCGGCAGGCCUAACACAUGCAAGUCGAGCGAGCGGCGGACGGGUGAGUAAUGUAUGGGGACUGCCCGAUAGAGGGGGAUAACUCCUGUAAACGGUGUCUAAUACCGCAUACUGUCGCAUAACCCAUAUGGGAGUAGCUAUUGGGUAAGGUAAUGGCUCACCUAGGCGACGAUCCCUAGCUGGUCUGAGAGGAUGAUCAGCCCCACUGGGACUGAGACACGGCCCAGACUCCUACGGAGGCAGCAGUGGGGAAUAUUGCACAAUGGGCGCAAGCCUGAUGCAGCCAUGCCGCGUGUAUGAAGAAGGCCCUAGGGUUGUAAAGUACUUUCAGUCGGGAGGCGUUACCGACAGAAGAAGCACCGGCUAACUCCGUGCCAGCAGCCGCGGUAAUUC
rnacentral:rRNA from 1 species